UGCAAGUCGAACGGCAGCACGGGUGCUUGCACCUGGUGGCGAGUGGCGAACGGGUGAGUAAUACAUCGGAACAUGUCCUGUAGUGGGGGAUAGCCCGGCGAAAGCCGGAUUAAUACCGCAUACGAUCUAUGGAUGAAAGCGGGGGACCUUCGGGCCUCGCGCUAUAGGGUUGGCCGAUGGCUGAUUAGCUAGUUGGUGGGGUAAAGGCCUACCAAGGCGACGAUCAGUAGCUGGUCUGAGAGGACGACCAGCCACACUGGGACUGAGACACGGCCCAGACUCCUACGGGAGGCAGCAGUGGGGAAUUUUGGACAAUGGGCGAAAGCCUGAUCCAGCAAUGCCGCGUGUGUGAAGAAGGCCUUCGGGUUGUAAAGCACUUUUGUCCGGAAAGAAAUCCUUGGUUCUAAUAUAGCCGGGGGAUGACGGUACCGGAAGAAUAAGCACCGGCUAACUACGUGCCAGCAGCCGCGGUAAUACGUAGGGUGCGAGCGUUAAUCGGAAUUACUGGGCGUAAAGCGUGCGCAGGCGGUUUGCUAAGACCGAUGUGAAAUCCCCGGGCUCAACCUGGGAACUGCAUUGGUGACUGGCAGGCUAGAGUAUGGCAGAGGGGGGUAGAAUUCCACGUGUAGCAGUGAAAUGCGUAGAGAUGUGGAGGAAUACCGAUGGCGAAGGC
rnacentral:rRNA from 1 species